GUGUCCGGAGAGGCCAACGCUUUCAUUAGCCAGCAGGAAUGGGCUGGGGCGCGUUUGUAGUUGGGAAUCCUGAGCCCGGGCUGUUGCUUGGAGGACUCGGGAGCAGCAGUGGAUUUCGGCGUUACCAGGAGAGCUAUGUAUAGGAAUGCCGCUAUGGAAAGACAUCCAGGACACCUUGUUAAGUGAAAAAAGACAUGCCACCAUUAGGGCUUCAUUUCCCUGCAGUCUUCUUUAAAUACCAAAACUGCCCUGGGAAGGAUAAGACAUCAGUUUCUUCAUACUUCAGAGCAAAUGGGAUUGAUUCCCAGGACCUCCUUUCUGUGGACUGGGUUUUUGCCUCCUCACCAAGAGACUGGGCUCCCUGGGCGAGCAGAGGCUGCUGGGUUCAGUAUCUGAACACUUUUGCUAAAGGUCUCUGGAAAGCUCCCUGUGUUAAUUCUCGAUGAGACUACGUCUGUGCCGGCCGCUUCCUGAGCCUCCUUCCAUGUGCAUAGGCCUGCUGCAUGCUGGAGACCUGCGGCACAGCUGCCAAGUGCCCCGUGUGGUUCUGUGAUCUUGGGACAGUCACUUCCUCUCUGUGGUUGUCAGUCUUCUCAUCCCUAAGCACUCAAGAAGCCCUUCCUUCUCUGGCUGUCAAGUCUGGACUCAUCUCUUGUCUUACACACGGACAGUUGUUUUAAGGAAAAGCCCCUGGUUGGACUUGCAGAUUGGGCACAGCCCUGGACGUAUACUACAGGUGCUCAUCAAGGCUUGCCUCAUCUGUUUACCCUCCAGGUCAUGCCCCUUUCUACCUCUACACCCUGUUGCAUUGCGGGCAUGGCCUCCGGAAAAGUCAAGCAUGGCGAAAGGAAGCGUGGCCCAGAGCUGGCACGCCACAGGAACUUGGAAUAACUUGCAGUGUCUUGCAGUAUUGUGAAACC
rnacentral:lncRNA from 1 species